AACCUUUAGCCCAACGAGUAUUAAAGGCAACGCCUGCCCAGUGAACACAUUCAACGGCCGCGGUACCCUAACCGUGCAAAGGUAGCGUAAUCACUUGUCUAUUAAUUGUAGACCAGUAUGAACGGCAACAUGAGAGCCUAACUGUCUCUUGUAAUUAAUCAAUUAAACUGAUCUUCCAGUACAAAAGCUGGAAUAAAGCCAUAAGACCAGAAGACCCUGUGAAGCUUUAAUUAAACUGCUAACCCGAAUAGUAGCUAAUUUCGGUUGGGGCGACCUCGGAACAAAAAUAAACUUCCGAAUCACAUGAGACCUUCCCUCAUACAAUUAAGGCUUACAAGCCUCUACAAUGACCCAGUAUUACUGAUAAAUGAACCAAGUUACUCCAGGGAUAACAGCGCCAUCUUCUUCAAGAGCCCAUAUCAAAAAGAAGGUUUACGACCUCGAUGUUGGAUCAGGACACCCAGAUGGUGCAGCCGCUAUCAAAGGUUCGUUUGUUCAACGAUUAACAGUCCUA
rnacentral:rRNA from 1 species